CUGGAAAGCAGUGGUAUUAACGGAGGAGGGGGAAAGCAGAAACGAAAGCGGAACAGGGGCAAAAAAGCGAUACGCGAGCGGCGGAGGACGAGAGAGACAGAAAUAGAGGGAAAGUGCCACGGAGAAGAAUAGGGGCGCAGGAAGAGCUGCGCGGACGAUCGGCAGAGGAAGAGAA